rnacentral:misc_RNA from 1 species
AAAAUGGACAAAUCUGUCAUAUUGGCUGAUGCUUUGAAAAUGGUGAAUCAGCUAAAGGAUGAAGCUCAGAAGCUGAAGGAUUCAAAUGAGAGUCUGCAGGAUAAGAUCAAUGAAUUAAAGGUUGAAAAGAGUGAGCUCCGCUAUGAAAAGCAAAGACUAAAGACAGAGAAAGAGAACCUUGAGCAGCAAGUAAAAACCUUGAGUACUGGAGCAGGAUUCCUGCCUCAUCCUCCGGCUAUCCCAGUCCCAUUUCCUUCCCCCAGCCAGGUUGUUGGUGGCAAGCUGGUACCUUUUGUUGGCUAUCCCGGAGUUCCCAUGUGGCGGCUUAUGCCU